UUUCUAGGUUUUAUUGGAAAAAAAAUGGUUUGAACCUAUUUUUAGGGUGUUCGAUUCAUCUAAAAGCC